CCUGACCUCAAGUGAUCUGCCCAAUUCGGCCUCCCAAAGUGCUGGGAUUACAAGCGUGAGCCACCACACUCAGCCACAAGCUGGUUUUUCUCUGCUCUCACCCCACAACAACCAACACGGAAGACUUCUGUGACCAAAUGUUUAGGGAUUUCUCCCCACUAGCAAACACGUAAUUCAUUCUGCAGCAGAUACUAGCUGGGCAUCCUCUCCUUGGAGACAGCAUCUGAUCCCAUAGGUUGAGAAAUCAGCCCCCAAGACUACUCCCUACUUUGAUGCCAAUCACAAGCCCCAGGUUGUUUUAUCUGUGCUUCUGACUGGUGACUAUAAAUCAGGGUUCCCACAACUCCCUCUUUGGGUUUGCUUAAUUUGCUGGAGUGGCUCACAGAACUCAGGGAAACACUUACAUUUACUGGUUUAUUAUAAAAGAUGUUCCAAAGGCUACAGAGGAAGAGGACUGUGAACCCCGAGCAUUUGAGACAGGUCUCGGUAAAUUUAGAAAGCUUAUUUUACCAAGGUUGAGGAUGCACACCCAUGACACAGCCUCAGGAAGUGCUGACGUCAUGUGCCCAAGGAGGUCGGGGCACAGCUUGGUUUUAUGCAUUUCAGGGAGACGUGAGACAUCAAUCAAUAUAUGUAAGAAGUACAUUGGUUUGGUCUGGAAAGACAGGACAACUUGAAGCAAAGGCUGGAAGACUGCAAGCAGGGAGGAGGCUUCCCGGUCAUAGAGGUGCUGGUUACGUGGGAAUUUGAUUUGUCAAAACUGAUUGAAUGACACAGGAUGUAUUUUGUUUUGCUUGUUAAACAAGUAACUCUACAAAUCGGAAAACGUGCCUUGUCAGUAUACCCCAGGUAUGGAGUUUUCGUUGAUCAAAUAUGGUCCCUGGAGGUCUGUUUAGGGACCAGGCAGGGUUUUUUUUCUAGCACUUUGUAGGAGCAAAGAACCAAGGCCAGGGCUGGGCGCGGUGGCUCACACUUGUAAUCCCAACACUUCAAUGGGAAGACCACUUGAAGCCAGGAGUUU